rnacentral:tRNA from 1 species
GGGCCCAUAGCUCAGCCGGGAGAGUGCCGCGUUCGCAACGCGGAGGUCGAGGGUUCGAUCCCCUUUGGGUCCACCA